rnacentral:rRNA from 1 species
GACGAACCGUGCGAACGUUGUUCGGAAUCACUGGGCUUAAAGGGCGCGUAGGCGGGCGCUCAAGUCCGGGGUGAAAUCCUCCAGCUCAACUGGAGAACUGCCUCGGAUACUGGGUGCCUCGAGGGUGGUAGGGGUAUGCGGAACUAUCGGUGGAGCGGUGAAAAUGCGUUGAUAUCGAUAGGAACUCCGGUGGCGAAGGCGGCAUACUGGACCACAUCUGACGCUGAGGCGCGAAAGCCAGGGGGAGCAAACGGGG